rnacentral:lncRNA from 1 species
AGAGUCAGACCAACCCAGAUGAGAACGCAGGCUUCCCACCUCCUGCCCACGUAAUCUGGGACCAGUGGUGACUAAGAACUUCCAUAUAAAAGGUGUUUGGGGAUUGCAGACUGGUUGGAAGGGAAGUCGGGAGGACUUGCCUUGAAGCAGCUGCAGAGACCAUGAGCUGAAGACAGAAGCAUCACAAGAGGAAAGGAGCCUGGAUCCCUGAGUCAUCGACUGGAGGAGAACUGCAUAAGAAGCUGCCCCAGGCCUGGCACGGUGGCUCAUGCCUGUAAUCCCAGCACUUUGGGAGGCUGAGGCGGGCAGAUCACCUGAGGUCAGGAGUUCAAGACCAGCCUGGCAAACAUGGUGAAACCCUGUCUCUACUAAAAAUAGAAAAAUUAGCUGGGUGUGGUGGGCACUCGUAAUCCCAGCUACUUGGGAGGCUGAGGCAGGAGAAUUACUUGAACCUGGGAGGUGGAGGUUGCAGUGAGCCGAGAUCACGCCACUGCACUCCAGCCUGGGUGACAGAGCAAGACUCUGUCAAAAAAAAAAAAAGGAAGCCGCCCCAGCUGCAUCAGACUGUGAUAUGAGAGAGAAAUAAGCCUUAAUUUUGUUAAGCCGCUGAGGUUUGGUUUUCGCUUGUUGUUGUUGUUUUUGUUUUUAUAGCAGCUUGUGUUCUUUAUGCUGACUAAUAUAAUAUCUAAAUAUUGUUCUGCCUCAUAAUCAAUAUAUUUAAAAAGCCAGAGAUGAGGAAUCAAAAGCCUGACUGCUUUGAUUAAAAUCUAUGAAGUUGAAGGUGCAUAACAUGCAUGCCAAUUUUAAGAUAAUAUUAAAUAUUAUCUUUGGGCCAGGUGCAGUGGCUCACGCCUGUAAUCCCAGCACUUUGGGAGGCCAAGGCGGGAGGAUCACUUGAGGCCAGGAGUUAAAGAUCGGCCUGGGCAAACAUAGUGAGACCUCCACCUCUACAAAAAUAAAAAUAAUUAGCCAGGUGUGGUGAUGAACACCUGUGGUCCCAGCUACUCAAGAGGCUGAGGUGGAAGGAUUGCAUGAGCCCAGGAGGUUAACGUUGAGGCUACAGUGAGCCAUGUUCAGGCCAUGGCACUCCAGCCUGGGCAACAGAGCAAGACAUCAUCUCCAAAAUAAAUAAAUAAAUAAAUAAAUAUUAUUUUUGGACAACAGUCAAAGCUUGAUAUUGAAGGAGAGUGAUGGGAAAGAAAACAAGAAUGACACCUCAAUUCUUUUCUUUCAAUCAGCCUGGAAUAAUAAUUGACAUAUUGCGACACUCAAUAAGCAAUAAUUGAAUGAAUGAAAAACCUGUUAACCAACACAAUCUCGUAAAACUCAGGCCAUUUGCUAUUUUAGGUCUUAUGGGGAAGAGCAACGGAGGUAGAGAGAAAAAAGUAGGAAAUAUAGAAUGGCAAGGUGGAAAUCAUUUUCCAGAAGGCAUGCCCCUUUGCCCAUUCCCACUUUUGUCACUUAAAAUGGUGCUUAUCAGUUACUGAUAUUCUGUAGCCUGCUUGAAUUUCUGUAGCAAAUUUCUGUAGCCAGCUUGAAUUUCUCCACAGAAAAUGGAUUUUUAUUUUCUAUUGCAUUGUCAGGCUGCAAAUUUUCCAAACUUUUAUGUUGUGCUUCCUCUUGAAAGCUUUGCCACUUAGAAAUUUAUUCCACCAGAUACCCUAACUCAUCUCUCUCAAGUUCAAAGAUUCACAGAUCUCUAGGGCAGGGGCAAAAUGCCACCAGUCUCUCUGCAUAGCAAGAGUGACCUUUACUCCAGUUCCCAACAAGUUCCUCAUCUCCAUCUGAGACCACCUUAGCCUGGACUUUAUUGUCCAUAUCAUUAUCAGCAUUUUGGUCAAAGCCAUUCAACAAGUCUCUAGGAAGUUCCAAACCUUCCCACAUCUUUCUGUCUUCUGAGCCCACCAAGUCUCUAGGAAGUUCCAAAUGUUCCCACACUUUCCUGUCUUAUUCUGAGCCCUCCGAACUGUUCCAACUCUGCCUGUUACCCAAUUCCAAAGUUGCUUCCACAUUUUCAGGUUUAUUUAUAGCAGCACCCCACAGUCUAAGGUACCAAUUUACUGUAUGAGUUCGUUCUCACACUGCUAUGUAGAAAUACCUGAGACUGGGUAAUUUGUAGAGGAAACAGUUCUAAUUGACUCGCAGUUUAGCACGGCUGGGGAGACCUCAGGAAACUUACAGUCAUGAUGGAAGGGGAAGCAAACGUGUUCUUCUUCACAUGGCACCAUGAAGGAGAAGUGCAGAAUGAAGGAGAGAAAAGCCACUUAUAAAACCGUCAGAUCACUGGGCGUGGUGGCUCAUGCCUGUAAUCUGAGUUUGCUGCCCUUGAUGUUCAGUUGGGAGGGAGGCUAGACAUGUUAAUACGUAAGGAUGUGGCUGGUGCACGAUACUAAAAAUACAAAAAUUAGCCGGGAAUGAUGGUGUGUGCCUGUAGUUCCAGCUACUUGGGAGGCUGAGACAGGAGAAUUGCUUGAAUCCAGGAGGCGGAGGUUGCACUGAGCCGAUAUCAUGCCACUGCACUCCAGCCUGGGUGACAGAGCGAGACUGUCUCAAAAAGAAAAAAAAAAAAAAUUAGCUGGGUGCCGUGGCAGGUGCCUAAAAUCCCAGCUACUCAGGAGGCUGAGGUGGGAGAAUCACUUGACCCUGGGAGGCGGAGGUUGCAGUGAGCCAAGAUCACAACACUGCACUCCAGCCUGGGCAACAGAAUGAGACUCCAUCUCAAAAAAAACUCACGAGAUUCACCAUCACAAGAACAGGAUGGGGAAACUGCCCUCAUGAUUCAAUUACCUCUUACCAGGUCCCUCCCACAACACUUGGGGAUUAUGGGAACUACAAUUCAAGAUGAGAUUUGGGUGCGGACACAGCCAAACCAUUUCAAUCGCUAAGACUGGAAUCACGCAGAAAGGUUUUUGGGGUUUGAAGGAGCUCAAUAAAUAACACCUCUCUUCCCCAUCAAGUCAGGAACCAAUUUAGGACAGACACAGGAGACAGAGAGAGGAAAUCAAAAUGUUUGAUUUAUUACCAAUAAACACUAGGUUUGAGUAUGCAGCUGAACUGGGCGUGCAGCCUAGGUUGUGCUAUGAAUGGAUGUGCUGUGUUGGAAGAAUGUGCUAUGAGCCUUGACUCUUGCAUUAGAUAGACUCAACGACCGUUGGCAUAGCUGGAAAACCAGAAGCUACCGCUUGACAAAAAGCAAACCAGAAAUCUCCUUCUCAGUGGUGAGGCAAAUUUAAGGAAAAGGGCAGGAAGGAGUUGAGCCAAGCCAUUUCCAGAAAUCACUCCAUCUGUCAGCUUUGGCUAAGAUAUGCAGCACGAACAAACAGCCCCAAAUGGUCAGUGACUUACAACCAGAAAGAACAAGAACAGGCCAGGCGCGGUGGCUCAUGCCUGUAAUCCAGCACUUUGGGAAGCUGAGGGGUGUGGAUCACUUGAGGUCAGGAGUUUGAGACCAGCCUGGCCAACCUGGUGUAACCCCAUCUCUACUAAAAAUACCAAAAAAUUAGCUGAGGCCGGGUGCAGUGGCUCAUGCCUAUAAUCCCGGCACUUUGGGAGGCCAAGGCCAGUGGAUCACCUGAGGC